CAGAAUACUACUGACAUGGAUGUAGAAGGUUUAUAGACAGAAUAUUACUGACACGGAUGUAGAAGGUUUAUACACAGAAUACUACUGACACGGAUGUAGAAGGUUUAUAGACAAUAUUACUGACACGGAUGUAGAAGGUUUAUAGACAGAAUAGUACUGACACGGAUAAGGUUUUAUUGAUGGUAAAAGAAGGGUUUCUAGACAGGGUAUUAUUGACAGGAGAAAAAGUUCAUAGACAGGGUGGGACAGUAUUUGUAGAAAAGGUAUUAUUGACAUGGGUAUAACAGUAUUUGUAGACAAGGUAUUAUUGACACAGGUGUAACAGUGUUUAUAGAAAAGGUAUUAUUGACACGGGUAUAACAGUAUUUGUAGGCAAGUUAUUAUUGACAUGGGUAUAACAGUAUUUGUAGACAAGGUAUUAUUGACACAGGUGUAACAGUGUCUGAAGACAGGGUAUUACUGACACAGAUGUAACAGUGUUUACAGAAAAGGUAUUAAUGACAAGGUGGAACAGUGUUUGCAGACACUGUUCUACUUGUGUCUACAAACACUGUUCCACUUGUGUCAAUAAUACCCUGUCUGCAAACACAAGUAGAACAGUGUUUGUAGACAGGGUAUUAUUGACACGGGUGGAACGGUGUUUGUAGACAGGAUAUUACUGACACGGGUGGAACGGUGUUUGUAGACAGGAUAUUAUUGACACGGGUGAAACAGUAUUUAUAGACAGGGUAUUACUGACACGGGUGGAACAUUGUUUGUAGACAGGAUAUUACUGACACGGGUGAAACAGUGUUUGUAGACAGGAUAUUACUGACAUGGGUGGAACAGUGUUUGUAGACAGGAUAUUACUGACACGGG